GUCCACGCCGUAAACGAUGACAACUAGGUGUCGGGUGUCCUACGAGGCGCUCGGUGCCGCAGCUAACGCGAUAAGUUGUCCGCCUGGGGAGUACGGCCGCAAGGCUAAACUCAAAGGAAUUGACGGGGCCCGCACAAGCAGCGGAGCGUGUGGUUUAAUUCGAUGCAACGCGAAGAACCUUACCUGGCCUUGACAUGCAAGUAGUAGGGGACCGAAAGGCGACCGACCCUCGGGAGCUUGCACAGGUGCUGCAUGGCUGUCGU
rnacentral:rRNA from 1 species